GAGAAUGAGGGAAACAAGAAACACGUAAUCUCCCAAAUAACCGUUUUAGUCCUUUCCCCCUGGAUUUGUGUCUUAAGAUAGCCUACAUUAUAUACUUCAAAGGAUACUCGGGAGGCCACGAGACUGUUACAAUGGGACUUGAAGAUGAUGUCCAGUACGCCACGGCUGCUCCAGCCAAUAAACAAGGUGACUAACAAUGGAAGUGGGCCAGGAAUGAAGAGAAGGAGACAGGGUAUAACCUCACAACACUCAGCAGGGAGAAAAGGGGGGGGAAGAGUGUAACGUGUAUCAAAUACAAAUGCAUCUAUAGUCUAUUUUGGAAUGACUAACAUGUCGUGUAGUUCUGUGUAUAUCAUUUUGAUCUGACCAUGAGAUGAUAUUAGAUUGCUUUAAACAAAUAUUUUGGGGUCAUAGAAAAAUAUAUCUUUUUUUUUUUUUGAUUCUUAGGAAUAUCAAAGUGACACUCAUUUAAGAGAUAUAACAAAUUAGUUGUUUUUUAUAUACAAAAUGGAAGAGGCAGGAUAAUGGAAAUUAUUUAUUUUUCAGGAGGAAGUUUCACAAGGUACUAUAACGGAGUUUCCAUGUUAGAAUUAAAUGAUUUUAGGACUGAAGGCCAAAAGACUAUUGAACUUUUAUGUGUGUAUGUUGGUGUGCCUCUGUGUGUUUCCUUGAGCAAAAUUAAUUAUCACCUUUGCCCCACAGAAAAUGCAAUUAAUAGCGGAAAUAAUUAUUUUUUCGUUUCUUUCCCCAAUUCACGGCUAAUUGAGAACCUUGAUAUUAAAGUUGUUGUACAUUUUUAUGGAA